GAUGAAGAACGCAGCGAAAUGCGAUAAGUAAUGUGAAUUGCAGAAUUCAGUGAAUCAUCGAAUCUUUGAACGCACCUUGCGCCCUUUGGCUAUUCCGAAGGGCAUGCCUGUUUGAGUAUCAUGAACACCUCAACUCUCAUGGUUUACCAUGAUGAGCUUGGACUCUGGGGGUCUUGCUGGCCUAUGGUCAGCUCCUCUCAAAUAAAUCAGCUUGCCAGUGUUUGGUGGCAUCACAGGUGUGAUAACUAUCUACGCUUGUGGUUUUCCAUCAGGUAACCUUCAGUGAUGGAGGCUCGCUGGAGCUCAUAAAUGUCCCUCCUCAGCGAGGACAGCUUUUUGAACGUUUGAUCUCAAAUCAGGUAGGACUACCCGCUGAACUUAAGCAUAUCAAAAGCGGAGGA
rnacentral:misc_RNA from 1 species